AACGAACGCUGGCGGCAGGCUUAACACAUGCAAGUCGAACGACAUAGUGGCAGACGGGUGAGUAACGCGUGGAAACGUACCUUUCACUACGGAAUAGCUCUUGGAAACGAGUGGUAAUACCGUAUACGCCCUUCGGGGGAAAGAUUUAUCGGUGAAAGAUCGGUCCGCGUUAGAUUAGCUAGUUGGUGAGGUAAGAGCUCACCAAGGCGACGAUCUAUAGCUGGUCUGAGAGGAUGAUCAGCCACACUGGGACUGAGACACGGCCCAGACUCCUACGGGAGGCAGCAGUGGGGAAUAUUGCACAAUGGGCGAAAGCCUGAUGCAGCCAUGCCGCGUGAAUGAUGAAGGCCUUAGGGUUGUAAAAUUCUUUCGCUAGGGAUGAUAAUGACAGUACCUAGUAAAGAAGCCCCGGCUAACUUCGUGCCAGCAGCCGCGGUAAUACGAAGGGGGCUAGCGUUGUUCGGAAUUACUGGGCGUAAAGCGCACGUAGGCGGGUUAUUAAGUCAGAUGUGAAAUCCCAAGGCUCAACCUUGGAACUGCAUUUGAAACUGAUAGCCUAGAGAUCAGGAGAGGUUAGCGGAAUACCGAGUGUAGAGGUGAAAUUCGUAGAUAUUCGGUGGAACACCAGUGGCGAAGGCGGCUAACUGGACUGAUACUGACGCUGA
rnacentral:rRNA from 4 species